rnacentral:sRNA from 1 species
CUGAAAGAUGUCAAAUUCUUGGAGUUUAAGCGCC